GCCUGGGUGGCUCAGUCGGGUGAGCAUCUGACUUCGGCUCAGGUCAUGAUCUCACAGCUCGUGGGUUCGAGCCCCACGUUGGGCU
rnacentral:tRNA from 1 species